rnacentral:rRNA from 1 species
AUUGAACGCUGGCGGCAUGCCUUACACAUGCAAGUCGAACGGUAACAGGUCUUCGGAUGCUGACGAGUGGCGAACGGGUGAGUAAUACAUCGGAACGUGCCUAGUAGUGGGGGAUAACUACUCGAAAGAGUGGCUAAUACCGCAUGAGAUCUACGGAUGAAAGCAGGGGAUCGCAAGACCUUGUGCUACUAGAGCGGCCGAUGGCAGAUCAGGUAGUUGGUGGGAUAAAAGCUUACCAAGCCGACGAUCUGUAGCUGGUCUGAGAGGACGAUCAGCCACACUGGGACUGAGACACGGCCCAGACUCCUACGGGAGGCAGCAGUGGGGAAUUUUGGACAAUGGGCGAAAGCCUGAUCCAGCAAUGCCGCGUGCAGGAUAAAGGCCUUCGGGUUGUAAACUGCUUUUGUACGGAACGAAAAGCCCCGGGUUAAUACCCUGGGGUCAUGACGGUACCGUAAGAAUAAGCACCGGCUAACUACGUGCCAGCCGCCGCAGUAA